CAGCAGCCAAAGAUUUAUCGGCUGGGGAUGGGCCUGCGUCUGAUUAACUGGUUGGUGAGGUAACGGCUCACCAAGGUAACGAUCAGUAGCCGACCUGAGAGGGUGAUCGGCCACAUUGAAACUGAGACACGGUCCAAACUUCUACGGAAGGCAGCAGUAAGGAAUCUUGCACAAUGAGGGAAACCCUGAUGCAGCAACGCCGCGUGAACGAUGAAAGCCUUAGGGUUGUAAAGUUCUGAUCUGGGGAAGAAGAAA
rnacentral:rRNA from 1 species